rnacentral:lncRNA from 1 species
ACGUAAUCAGGCAUGUCUCACCAGUACUCCCCCCUGAAGAGAGCACAAGAAACAUGCGUUUAUUGCCAGUACCCCCCCCCCAACCAAGGUUCAAUGUGUGUGAUCCAGCCUGACGAGAGUAAUGCCCCCAUUCCUCAUAUUUAUGGGAUGGGUGGUAGAGGAAAGACGCACUUCCCCUCUGCGAAGGAUGUACGGGUACCUGAGCCCUUUGACUAUACUCAGGAAUUGCCAGUUGACCGUGGCCAGAGCUGAAGCCGCAAUGAUCCUUAUGACGGAUCGCAAACUCCUCCUCCUCCUAUGGAAAUGGACAAGGAUGGGGAUCACGUGAACCUCCCGUUCUACGAGGGAGUGGAGAACCCACCGGCUAUGCGCACUGUGAGACCUUGCCGGGUGGUGAGAUAAGAC